UUUGUCCUUGUUAGCUUGGCGUGCUGGUUGAUAGCAUUGCCAAAGCAUAGACGAGUUUAAUACCAGGUUCUUUGUCCUUGUUAGCUUGGCGUGCUGGUUGAUAGCAUUGCCAAAGCAUAGACGAGUUUAAUACCAGGUCCUUUGUCCUUGUUAGCUUGGCGUGCUGGUUGAUAGCAUUGCCAAAGCAUAGACGAGUUUAAUACCAGGUCCUUUGUCCUUGUUAGCUUAGCGUGCUGGUUGAUAGCAUUGCCAAAGCAUAGACGAGUUUAAUACCAGGUCCUUUGUCCUUGUUAGCUUAGCGUGCUGGUUGAUAGCAUUGCCAAAGCAUAGACGAGUUUAAUACCAGGUCCUUUGUCCUUGUUAGCUUGGCGUGCUGGUUGAUAGCAUUGCCAAAGCAUAGACGAGUUUAAUACCAGGUCCUUUGUCCUUGUUAGCUUAGCGUGCUGGUUGAUAGCAUUGCCAAAGCAUAGACGAGUUUAAUACC